AUGGCGGCCGUGACACUGGGCACCGAGACCGAUGGCUCCAUACUCUGCCCGUCAUCGUUCAACUCUGUGGUCGGCAUCAAGCCCACCGUCGGGCUCACCAGCCGCGCCGGCGUCGUCCCCAUCACCCCUAGACAAGACAGUGUCGGACCGAUGUGCCGAACAGUGUCGGAUGCAGUCCACGUGCUGGACGCCAUCGUCGGCUACGACAAGCUUGAUGCCACGGCCACUCGAGCAGCAUCCAAGUACAUCCCUCAUGGCGGAUAUCUGCAGUUCCUGAAGAAGGAUAGGCUGAGAGGGAAGAGGAUUGGCGUCCCCAAUAAAUUCUUUUUGUUUCAAGGAUUUGGAGAGAAGCAGAUGAGGGUGUACAAACUGCACCUCGCCACAAUGAGGAAACACGGAGCCAUGGUGAUCGAGAACCUUGACAUCGCCACCGACAGUCAAGAUAUUGUUUCCAAUGAGUGGACUGCGAUGCUGACAGAGUUCGAGUUGAGCAUAAACGAGUACUUGGUGGACUUGUCCUACUCUCCGGUCCAUUCUCUUGCGGACAUCAUAGCUUUCAACAAAGCGCAUCCUAUAGAGGAGAGGCUAAAAGAUUUCGGGCAACAAAACCUUAUCUUAGCCCAAAAUACAAACGGCAUUGACCGUCUGGAAAGAGCUCGGAUCCGCUGGCUGAAGGAGCUCUCUGUGAAUGGGUUGGAGAAGCUGAUGAAGGAGCAUCAACUGGACGCGAUCGUUGCACCCGAGCAUUAUGCUUCCAACCAUCUCGCCAUUGGCGGCUACCCUGGCAUCGUUGUGCCGGCUGGGUACAACGAGAAGGGUGUCCCUUUUGGCAUAUGCUUUGGCGGGCUGCAGGGAUAUGAGCCGAGGCUGAUCGAGAUAGCCUAUGCUUUCGAGCAGGCUACUAAAGUGAGAAGGCCACCCAUGUUCAAGCCUUAG
rnacentral:rRNA from 1 species